UGGGUAACCUGCCUCAAAGAGGGGAAUAGCCUCCCGAAAGGGAGAUUAAUACCGCAUAAUAUGUUUUAGUCGCAUGACUUAAACAUCAAAGGAUUUUCUUUUAAGAAAUUCCACUUUGAGAUGGACCCGCGGCGCAUUAGCUAGUUGGUGAGGUAACGGCUCACCAAGGCAACGAUGCGUAGCCGACCUGAGAGGGUNAUCCGGCCACAUUGGAACUGAGACACGGUCCAGACUCCGUAGGAGG
rnacentral:rRNA from 1 species